rnacentral:rRNA from 1 species
UACGUAGGCAGCAAGCGUUGUUCGGAGUUACUGGGCGUAAAGGGUGCGUAGGUGGCUCUAUAAGUAUGGUGUGAAAUCUCCCGCUUAACUGGGAGGGUGCGCCGUAGACUGUGGGGCUAGAGUGUGGGAGAGGAAAGUGGAAUUCCUGGUGUAGCGGUGAAAUGCGUAGAUAUCAGGAGGAACACCGGUGGUGUAAACGGCUUUCUGGACCAUAACUGACAC